CCGGGCGCUAUGGUUCAUGCCUGUAAUCCCAGCACUUUGGGAGGCCAAGGCAGGUGGAUCACCUGAGGUCAAGGGUUCCAGACCAGCCUGGUCAACAUGGCGAAACCCCAUCUCUACUAAAAAUACAAAAAUUAGCUGGGCGUGGGGGUGCACACCUGUAAUCCCAGCUACUUGGGUGGCUGAGCCAUGAGAAUCACUUGAACCUGGGAGGUGGAGGUUAUAGUGAACUAGGAUUGUGCCACUGCACUCCAACCUGGACAACAGAGUGAGACUCUGUCUCAACAAACAAACAAGCAAACAACCCAAGCCUGUCUCACUGGCAAAGGCUCAAGUGUCCUCUGAAUUAGCUGCACCCAAAGACCAUGCUCACUGCUAUGGAGAAGUGAAUCCCCCUAAAGGAGAUCCUGUCUGUGGGCUCUGAAGGUUUAGAAUCUAAACAGAACAACAGCUGGUCAAUGCUGGGAGCAGAGCAGCCCCAAGAGCUGGGAGCAGGUCCCCAGUUGGAGUCAGGAAACCCUAGCUCAGGCCUGGCUCAGCCACAAUAUGCCGCGUGAUGCUGGACCUCUGAUGCCGGGACUCAUGGUGACUUCACCCCUCUGAGCCUGUGCCCUUAUAUGCCCAGCAAGGGGCAGCCCUGCCCAGCCACCCACACAAUGAUGGUGUCAGGAGCAAAUGACACAAUACAAAUAAAAGUACUUUGAAAAUCUUAAAGUGCAAUAAUGACACAAAAGGUUAUUAGAAAGAGAAGCUCUAUGAGAUUAAAGGGGCAGGUCUCUAAC
rnacentral:lncRNA from 1 species